AAAAUGAUUGGCUUUAGAACACUACAUUAGUCUUGUGGGCAGUACUGACAGCUCUGUCUUAUCUUCUAUUUAGAGAUUUCCUGACCUGGUAGAAGAAUGUGCUCUCUGGCAGCACCUUGAAUGUGCCCUUGUGGCAAUCCCAUCAGCAAUUGUGCUGCUCUGGGUUGUGAUGUCAGCUUUAGAGAUGUACACAUCUUCUCUCUUAAAUUCUAAAAGGGAAGAAUCUGCAACCGUACAGAAGUCUUCACCAAAAAUGAAAUGCAAAUGUGGAUACCAGCCAGCAAAGCCGCUAUUUCCAUUGAGCCAUGACCUGGUUCACAACAUCAAGCAGGUCCAAGCUAAAAAAAUGGAAGAAGCCACUGAGAAAUUUCUCCUGAAAAUACGGCAACACGUGAGACUGUUGUCAACGACAUUUGCACUAAAGAGAAAA